rnacentral:rRNA from 1 species
GAUGAACGCUGACGGAAUGCUUAACACAUGCAAGUCAUUGGCGAAGCUGCGCUUGCGCAGUCUAGCCAAGGCGGACGGGUGAGUAACGCGUAAGGAACUUGCCCUGCAGACAGGGAUAACAGACGGAAACGACUGAUAACACCUGGUAUUGUCAGGCUGGCGCAUGCCGGCCUGAUGAAAGGAGACGCUGCAGGAGAGCCUUGCGUCCUAUUAGCUAGUUGGUGGGGUAACGGCCCACCAAGGCGAUGAUAGGUAGCCGGCCUGAGAGGGUGAACGGCCACAAGGGGACUGAGAUACGGCCCUUACUCCUACGGGAGGCAGCAGUGGGGAAUAUUGGACAAUGGGGGCAACCCUGAUCCAGCAAUUCUGUGUGCACGAAGAAGGUUUUCGGAUUGUAAAGUGCUUUCAGCAGGGAAGAAGAAAGUGACGGUACCUGCAGAAGAAGCGACGGCUAAAUACGUG